CUCUGUACUUUCUGUUCAAAUUUUCUGUAAACCCAAAACCACUAUAAAAGUAAAGUUGGCUGGGCGCGGUGGCUCAAGCCUGUAAUCCCAGCACGUUGGGAGGCCGAGGCGGGGGGGAUCACAAGAUCAGAGAUCGAGACCAUCCUGGUCAACAUGGUGAAACCCCGUCUCUACUGAAAAUACAAAAAAUUAGCUGGGUAUGGUGGCGGGUGCCUGUAGUCCCAGCUACUCAGGAGGCUGAGGCAGGAGAAUUGCCUGAACCCAGGAGGCGGAGGUUGCGGUGAGCCGAGAUCGCGCCAUUGCACUCCAGCCUGGUAACAAGACCGAAACUCCAUCUCAAAAAAAAAAAUAAAUAAAUAAAUAAAGUCUAUUACUUUUUUAAAAAAUGUAUCUCUUCUUAAUUCUUUCUCCCUCUCAACCUGAAGUUCUCUCUUUAACAUUACAGACACCUGAAAUGAAAUCUGGAAGGAUAACACCUUACUCCUGAAUCCUGGGAGCCCAAAGUUGGACUGGAAUCUCAGGAAUACUAGAAGCCAGGAAAAUUUGGAACUAUUGACAUCCAAGGUGCAGCCAUCACUGAGGGCUUGUUUUGCAAGGUGCCAUGGAUGGUGAUGAGUAAAACCAGGCUCCUUUCUAUUAUGCUGUGCUGGAAGCUGCCUCGGCAAGUGGAGGGAGUGUGGCCUUUUGGAUCAGAUGAAUCUGGUGGAAUCCUGGCUCUGUGAGUUGUAUCUCACAGUGAGAAAGAAGGAAAAAAACUUGAAAGAAAGUUGAGAAUUGUUACUGCUUUUGCAAAUCUUGAGAUUUGGCCUGAGAGUGGAAAGCAAUUGGAACACUGAAGAUGAAAAAUUUCUAAGAGAUUCAAAGAAAACAAGAAAAGGAACAAGAAGAGAGAAACAACUAUUAACUCGAGGAAAAGCAAAAGAUUACAUUAAAAAGUCCAUUUCUUUUUAGUACAUUGUAUGACUUAGUUGUGAAUAAUAUUUAUAUAAUCAGAAACAAAAUAUGUGUUGAAUUUUUCUCUAACAAAAAAUUAUUACAUAUCUCUCUUAGGGAAUUAUGGGACAGGAUGCAUGUGCAUAUGUGUGUGAAGGUAGGGAAAGGUUAGGUGAGAGAGCUAAAUCCUCAGUUUCCCUAUCAGGAAGUUAACAGAAAAUACCUAAGCUUUAAAACAUCAGGAAAUAGCUGCCAUACAUAGGGAUAUAGAAAUAUGAUGGUCAAUACUAAAAGAAACAUCUGAAAUAAUAUAGAGUAUUUUUUUUUUGCUGGUGAAUGGAAAUCAGAGGUGGGACCACUAUUGCUGUUUUGGUUAAAAGCCUUAUAACUUUAUUUGGCUCUUUUACUAAUAUACAUGUAUUUGCCUAAUACAAUUAAAAUUUUAAUAAAAUAAGAGACCCUUCCCCA
rnacentral:lncRNA from 13 species